rnacentral:rRNA from 1 species
AAUGAUGAAGGUCUUAGGAUUGUAAAAUUCUUUCAGCAGGGAAGAUAAUGACUGUACCUGCAGAAGAAGCCCCGGCUAACUUCGUGC